rnacentral:sRNA from 1 species
UGCAUCUGAGGCCAGUGAGGAUGAGAACCUCCGGGGGCAGGAGGUUCGACUCGAGCGAAGCGAGAGAACGUUGCGUCAGCAACGGCCCGCAGGGC